UACGUAGGGUGCGAGCGUUGUCCGGAAUUAUUGGGCGUAAAGGGCUCGUAGGCGGUCUGUUGCGUCGGUAGUGAAAACUCAGGGCUUAACCCUGAGCCUGCUUCCGAUACGGGCAGACUAGGGGUAUGCAGGGGAGAACGGAAUUCCUGGUGUAGCGGUGAAAUGCGCAGAUAUCGGGAGGAACACCGGUGGCGAAGGCGGUUCUCUGGGCCUUACCUGACGCUGAGGAGCGAAAGCGUGGGGAGCGAACAGG
rnacentral:rRNA from 1 species